rnacentral:rRNA from 1 species
CCAGACUCCUACGGGAGGCAGCAGUGAGGAAUAUUGGUCAAUGGGCGGGAGCCUGAACCAGCCAAGUCGCGUGAGGGACGGCGGUCCUAUGGAUUGUAAACCUCUUUUGUCGGGGAACAAAGGCGCCCACGGGUGGGCGGAUGAGUGUACCCGAAGAAAAAGCAUCGGCUAACUCCGUGCCAGCAGCCGCGGUAAUACGUAGGGGGCGAGCGUUAUCCGGAUUCACUGGGUGUAAAGGGAGCGUAGACGGCCAUGCAAGCCAGGGGUGAAAGCCCGGGGCCCAACCCCGGGACUGCCCUUGGAACUGUGCGGCUAGAGUGCGGGAGGGGCAGGCGGAAUUCCUGGUGUAGCGGUGAAAUGCGUAGAUAUCAGGAGGAACACCGGCGGCGAAGGCGGCCUGCUGGACCGCGACUGACGUUGAGGCUCGAAAGCGUGGGGAGCGAACAGGAUUAGAUACCCGCGUA